UUUAUUCCUAUUUUUUAAAUAAUAAUAUCAGAAAAAUACAAGUAUUAAAAAUAAAUAAAUAAAUAUUUAAAUAUUUAAAUAUUAAAUCAUUAAAUUAAUAUAAAAAGAUGAUAAGAAAAAAAUACAAUUGCUUUCUAUAGCUUCUAAUUGUUACAAUCAUUAAACAAAAAAUGGCUUCUAAACUAUAUAUUGUUUUAUUUCUAAUUUUUAAAUAAUUUUAAUUAUAUAGAAAUAAAGAUAUAUAAAUUAGAUCUUUAUUGAUUAAAAUUUUUAAAACUAUUUAAAAUUAUUUGGUGUAUAAAUCUAUCUUAUGAAUUUGCAAAUUUUGUACAGUAAAAUUUUACAU
rnacentral:lncRNA from 1 species